rnacentral:lncRNA from 1 species
GGCACUUGCAACUUUAUUGCGCCAGCAAGAACAUGCAUACAGCCCAGUCUAACGUACAGGAUCAAAAAGAGACCUUAUUUCGGCUGGCAAUUACCUUACCCGCUUGUUCAUUAUCUGACUCCUGCACUCCUCCCAAGUGUUCAAUGUUAACCAGAUGGCAAAGUUAACCAGACAGAGGAAAUCCACAUAAUUACUCUAGAUGAAGCCCCCUAACUGCGGAUUAGAAGGAAAAGAGAUGAAGGGUGCUGCACUAAUAAUAACAACCAUUUUCAACCAAGGCAGGAUUCUGGGCCUAGAAUCUUCAGUGACAAAUUACCAGGAGAGGAGGAGGGAAAUGAAGAGCUGGAGGCCUAGGGAGAUGGUGUGAGGAGAGGAGACUGUGCCUUUCCACUUCUUAAUAAUUAAUGUUCUCCUGCUGCUCUGAGUCUGCAUCACCAGUGAUUCAGUUUGAGUCAGACAUCCAACAACAACUGAGCAAAAGAAUCAUCUCAGAUCCAAGCAAUGGUGACGCGCAGAUAGAAGAGACUGAGGCCAACGACCAAAGCAAAGGACAGCAGAACUGACUGACACAGCUCAGAAAAUAUCCAAAGCUCUGUAUGCUCUGGAAAGGAAGACAAGAAAUGCUAAAGACUCUGGAUAUUGCUCUGUUUCUAUAAGGUCCCACCCAUAUACCAUCUCUUCUUUUGGAUUUCCUUUGGCAGGGUUCCCUUGUAUGGAAGUUCUCAGGAGAACAACACUCUCAGAGUCCCACUGUCUCAAAGAAUUCUUAAUGGACAGCUAUACUUGGCCCCAAGGUUUCAACCUCACACUGAAGAAAGUGACAUAAGAAAACACAAGUCCCAGUGCUAUCAGGGGCUAUCUGGAAAAGCUGCUUAAACAGCAAGUGAAAGAAGGCUCUCCCCUACCCCGUUCUAGGACAGAUUCCAAGCCUCUUGGAUAAGACUGAAGCCCUCCAUCACAGCCCAUCAAUCCGUUUCCUGGAGUUCGGAACCACAGCCAUGUGCCUCAUCAGUGUAAGACUGAGUCUCAGCUCUCACUUCAAGGAGGACUCAAGACAAGCAAAAGAAGUAAACUUUUGCUGGGUGCAGUGGCUCACGCCUGUAAUCCCGGCACUUUGGGAGGCCAAGGUGGUGGAUUACUUGAGGUCAGCAGUUUGAGACCAGCCUGACCAACAUGAUGAAACGUUAUCUGUACUAAAAAUACAAAAAUUAGGCUGGGCGCCAUGGCUCAUCCCUGUAAUCCCAGCACUUUGGGAGACCGAGGUGGGUGGAUCACCUGAGGUCAGAAGUUUGAGACCAGCCUGGGCAACAGAAUGAAACCCCAUCUCUACUAAAAAUACAAAAAUAAACUGGGUGUGGUGGCA